rnacentral:rRNA from 1 species
ACAACCGCUGGCGGCGCGCUUAACACAUGCAAGUCGCACGAGAAAGUGGAGCAAUCCUGAGUACAGUGGCGUACGGGUGAGUAACACGUGGAUCAUCUACCUCUUGGUGGGGAAUACCCCCGGGAAACUGGGGACAAUACCGCAUAAGCCUGCGAAGGGAAAGCAGCAAUGCGCCGGGAGAGGAGUCCGCGGUCGAUUAGCUAGUUGGUGAGGCAACGGCCCACCAAGGCGAAGAUCGAUAGCCGGCCUGAGAGGGCUCACGGCCACACUGGCACUGAAACACGGGCCAGACUCCUACGGGAGGCAGCAGUGGGGAAUCUUGCACAAUGGAGGAAACUCUGAUGCAGCGACGCCGCGUGAGCGAUGAAGCCCCUCGGGGUGUAAAGCUCUUUCGACGGGGACGAUAAUGACGGUACCCGAAGAAGAAGCUGCGGCUAACUACGUGCCAGCAGCCGCGGUAAUACGUAGGCAGCAAGCGUUGUUCGGAAUUACUGGGCGUAAAGAGUGUGUAGGCGGUGUUCUAAGUCUGUCGUGAAAUCUCCCGGCUCAACUGGAGGGUGCGGCGGAAACUGGAAUGCUUGAGGGUGGGAGAGGUAAGCGGAAUUCCUGGUGUAGCGGUGAAAUGCGUAGAUAUCAGGAGGAACACCUGUGGUGUAGACAGCUUACUGGACCACUUCUGACGCUGAGACA